CGCGCAGGCGGUUUCUUAAGUCUGAUGUGAAAGCCCACGGCUCAACCGUGGAGGGUCAUUGGAAACUGGGGAACUUGAGUGCAGAAGAGAAAAGCGGAAUUCCACGUGUAGCGGUGAAAUGCGUAGAGAUGUGGAGGAACACCAGUGGCGAAGGCGGCUUUUUGGUCUGUAACUGACGCUGAGGCGCGAAAGCGUGGGGAGCAAACA
rnacentral:rRNA from 1 species